GCUCCUGUACGGUGUACAUUUUAGGACAUCGUCAGGUAUCAGAAAAAAAAUUGUCAGGUGUCAGUUGUCAAAAAAAAAAAAGUCAGGUAUCAGACAAAAAAUUGUCAGGUGUCAGAAAAAAAGUUGUCAGGUAUCAGAAAAAAAAUUGUCAGGUGUCAGAAAAAAAGUUGUCAGGUGUCAGAAAAAAAGUUGUCAGGUGUCAGAAAAAAAAUUGUCAGGUGUCAGAAAAAAAAUUGUCAGGUGUCAGAAAAAAAGUUGUCAGGUGUCAGAAAAAAAAUUGUCAGGUGUCAGAAAAAAAGUUGUCAGGUGUCAGAAAAAAAAUUGUCAGGUGUCAGAAAAAAAAUUGUCAGGUGUCAGAAAAAAAGUUGUCAGGUGUCAGAAAAAAAAUUGUCAGGUGUCAGAAAAAAAGUUGUCAGGUGUCAGAACACAAGGUACCAGAGAGAAAAUCUUCCUGCAGGUGGCGCUGUUGUCAUGUCCCACCCGAAUUGAUUUCCAAAUACGUCAUCAACGUGUGACCGUGGGAGAGCGUAAGGUCAUUGACCUCACCGGAGUUUUACCGUGGUUCAGGCUCCUAACGACACAAGCUUGAAGGGGAUGAUGCCGGUUUCAUAUCACUGGACUUAUCCAUGGCAGUAGAGUACAUCCAUG
ensembl:lncRNA